UACGGAGGGUGCAAGCGUUAUCCGGAUUCACUGGGUUUAAAGGGUGCGUAGGUGGGCUAUUAAGUCAGUGGUGAAAGCCCCGAGCUCAACUUGGGAACUGCCAUUGAUACUAUUAGUCUUGAAUACUGUAGAGGUAGGCGGAAUACAUCAUGUAGCGGUGAAAUGCUUAGAUAUGAUGUAGAACACCGAUUGCGAAGGCAGCUUACUAUGCAGUGAUUGACACUGAGGCACGAAAGCGUGGGGAUCAAACAGG
rnacentral:rRNA from 1 species